CCUACGGGAGACAGCAGUGAGGAAUAUUGGUCAAUGGGCGUAAGUCUGAACCAGCCAAGCCGCGUGAGGGAUGAAGGCUCUAUGGAUCGUAAACCUCUUUUAUACGGGAAUAAAGCGCGGGACGUGUCUUGUGUUGUAUGUACUUUAUGAAUAAGGAUCGGCUAACUCCGUGCCAGCAGCCGCGGUAAUACGGAGGAUCCGAGCGUUAUCCGGAUUUAUUGGGUUUAAAGGGUGCGUAGGCGGCCUUUUAAGUUAGCGGUAAAAGCCCGGGGCUAAACCCCGGCGAGCCGUUAAAACUGGCUGUCUUGAGAUGUCGAGAGGUAUGCGGAAUGCGCAGUGUAGCGGUGAAAUGCUUAGAGAUUACACAGAACUCCGAUUGCGAAGGCAGCAUACCGGCGGCGAUCUGACGCUGAGGCACGAAAGCGUGGGUAUCGAACAGGAUUAGAUACCCUAGUAGUC
rnacentral:rRNA from 1 species